AUACUACUCUCUCCGUUCAACAAAAGAUGUCUGAAGUUUGUCAAAAUUUAGAUGUAUCUGAACAUGAUUUUAUGUAUAGAUGCAUUCAAAUUUAAUCAAAAGUUGAGUUGAGACAUCUUUUGUUGGACGGAGUAAGUACGGU
rnacentral:pre_miRNA from 1 species